AGGAAGGGAGGGACAGACCAUAGAGAAGAAAGGGCUGGGAAAUAGACCAUCUGGAAGGACAGUGAAGGAAACCAGGAAAAAAAAGAAAAUAGUCACACACAACAGAAGUUCUUCUAGGCUACUACAAUUUAUGUGAAAUAAAACUGAAAAGAGGUAUAAAACCCCUUGGCUUACUGCACCACCAGUGUGGGAGAGGAUAUACCCAGGGAAUAUAGGUGAUCAGGCAACAGGCAGAAUGGGACACAAAGGUAAUUUAACAUAGCUCUGUGUUUGGCGCCGAUCCCCAGGGACCUAGUUACCAGAGCACCAGGAGGGUAAUAACUCAAUAGCGUCACCUACAACGCUAUCCAGUCCAUGACCUCUGAGGGCAGUGCUUCUGACUCCAAUAUAAUGCCAAUCGACUUCUCCCUGACCACGACACCAACAAGAAGCCAGGCCUAAAAUGUCUCAGGCUCCUUGGAUUCGAUGGAUUCCUGAAGCCCACAAGUCAUAUUCCUCUGUUCUGUUGACCAGACAUGUUUCCAUAUGGAGAUGGAGGGGGAUCCCAUCCAGAACAACCAC